rnacentral:rRNA from 1 species
GACGAACGCUGGCGGCGUGCUUAACACAUGCAAGUCGAACGGAAAGGCCUGCUUUCCCUUGUGGAUUGCGGGUACUCGAGUGGCGAACGGGUGAGUAACACGUGAGUGAUCUGCCCCCAACUUGGGUAUAAGCCUGGAAAACUGGGUCUAAUUCCCGAUAGGACUGCAGGGUGGUGCCUGUGGUGGAAAACGAUUUUCUAGUGGUUGGGGAUGAGCUCGCGGCCUAUCAGCUUGUUGGUGGGGUAAUGGCCUACCAAGGCGGCGACGGGUAGCCGGCCUGAGAGGGUGGACGGCCACAUUGGGACUGAGAUACGGCCCAGACUCCUACGGGAGGCAGCAGUGGGGAAUAUUACACAAUGGGCGGAAGCCUGAUGCAGCGACGCCGCGUGGGGGAUGACGGCCUUCGGGUUGUAAACUCCUUUCGACCGCGAGGAAGCCACCUGGUUGGAAGGGUGGUGACGGUAGUGGUAGAAGAAGCACCGGCUAACUACGUG